UACGUAGGGGGCAAGCGUUGUCCGGAUUUAUUGGGCGUAAAGAGCGUGUAGGCGGCCAUGUAGGUCCGUUGUGAAAACUCGAGGCUCAACCUCGAGACGCCGAUGGAAACCAUAUGGCUAGAGUCCGGAAGAGGAGAGUGGAAUUCCUGGUGUAGCGGUGAAAUGCGCAGAUAUCAGGAAGAACACCCGUGGCUAAGGCGGCUCUCUGGGACGGUACUGACGCUGAGACGCGAAAGCGUGGGGAGCGAACAGG
rnacentral:rRNA from 1 species